AUUGAACGCUGGCGGUAGGCCUAACACAUGCAAGUCGAACGGCAGCACAGUAAGAGCUUGCUCUUACGGGUGGCGAGUGGCGGACGGGUGAGGAAUACAUCGGAAUCUACUUUUUCGUGGGGGAUAACGUAGGGAAACUUACGCUAAUACCGCAUACGACCUACGGGUGAAAGCAUGGGAUCUUCGGACCUUGCGCGAUCGAAUGAGCCGAUGUCGGAUUAGCUAGUUGGCGGGGUAAAGGCCCACCAAGGCGACGAUCCGUAGCUGGUCUGAGAGGAUGAUCAGCCACACUGGAACUGAGACACGGUCCAGACUCCUACGGGAGGCAGCAGUGGGGAAUAUUGGACAAUGGGCGAAAGCCUGAUCCAGCCAUACCGCGUGGGUGAAGAAGGCCUUCGGGUUGUAAAGCACUUUUGUUGGGAAAGAAAAGCAGCAGGUUAAUACCCCGCUGUUCUGACGGUACCCAAAGAAUAAGCACCGGCUAACUUCGUG
rnacentral:rRNA from 1 species